GACGAACGCUGGCGGCGUGCUUAACACAUGCAAGUCGAACGGAAAGGCCCUGCUUUUGUGGGGUGCUCGAGUGGCGAACGGGUGAGUAACACGUGAGUAACCUGCCCCUGACUUUGGGAUAACUUCAGGAAACUGGGGCUAAUACCGGAUAGGAGCUCCUGCUGCAUGGUGGGGGUUGGAAAGUUUCGGCGGUUGGGGAUGGACUCGCGGCUUAUGAGCUUGUUUGUGGGGUAGUGGCUUACCAAGGCUUUGACGGGUAGCCGGCCUGAGAGGGGGACCGGGCACAAGGGGACUGAGAGAGGGACCAGUCGGGUACGGGAGGCAGCAGUGGGGAGUAUGGCGCAGUGGGCGGGAGCGUGAUGCGACGACGCCGGGUGCGGGAAGACGGGCUUCGGGUUGUGAACCGAUGUCGACUGUGACGUAGCGUGAGUGACGGUAAUGGGUAAAAAAGCACCGGCUAACUACGUG
rnacentral:rRNA from 1 species